rnacentral:rRNA from 1 species
CCUACGGGGGGCAGCAGUGGGGAAUAUUGCACAAUGGGCGCAAGCCUGAUGCAGCGACGCCGCGUGAGCGAUGAAGGCCUUCGGGUCGUAAAGCUCUGUCCUAAGGGAAGAAUAAUGACGGUACCUUAGGAGGAAGCCCCGGCUAACUACGUGCCAGCAGCCGCGGUAAUACGUAGGGGGCGAGCGUUAUCCGGAAUCACUGGGCGGAAAGGGUGCGUAGGCGGCCCUGCGAGUCAGGAGUUAAAUCCCUCGGCUCAACCGAGGUCAGCUCGUGAAACUGUAGGGCUGGAGUGCAGGAGAGGAGAGAGCAAUGCCUAGAGUAGCGGUGAAAUGCGUAGUGAUUAGGAGGAACACCAGUGGCGAAGGCGGCUCUCUGGACUGCAACUGACGCUUAGGCACGAAAGCGUGGGGAGCAAACAGGAUUAGAUACCCUUGUAGUC